GAUUUCUGGUACGGCGCGCUUGGCCCGCCAGGGUUACCUGGUUGUGUGCUGGUGCGCGCCUGCCAUCCUUUUGUAUGUCAGGUCUAUCCUUUAUUGGUGUGAACUGGCUUACAAAUCUUUUACUUUGAAAAAAUUAGAGUGUUUAAAGCAGGCUUGCGCUAUGAAUACAUUAGCAUGGAAUAAUAAUUUAGGACUUUGCUCCUAUUUUAUUGGUUUCUAGGGGUAAAGUAAUGAUUGAUAGGGAUAGUUGGGGGUGCUAGUAUUCAUCGGCCAGAGGUGAAAUUCUUGGAUUCGAUGAAGACUAACUUAUGCGAAAGCAUU
rnacentral:rRNA from 1 species